AUUGAACGCUGGCGGCAUGCUUUACACAUGCAAGUCGAACGGUAACAGGUUAAGCUGACGAGUGGCGAACGGGUGAGUAAUGCAUCGGAACGUGCCCGAUCGUGGGGGAUAACGCAGCGAAAGCUGCGCUAAUACCGCAUACGAUCUGAGGAUGAAAGCGGGGGACCGUAAGGCCUCGCGCGAUCGGAGCGGCCGAUGUCAGAUUAGGUAGUUGGUGGGGUAAAGGCCCACCAAGCCGACGAUCUGUAGCUGGUCUGAGAGGACGACCAGCCACACUGGGACUGGGACACGGUCCAGACUCCUACGGGAGGCAGCAGUGGGGAAUUUUGGACAAUGGACGCAAGUCUGAUCCAGCCAUUCCGCGUGCAGGAUGAAGGCCCUCGGGUUGUAAACUGCUUUUGUACGGAACGAAAAGGUCUCUCUUAAUACGGGGGGCUCAUGACGGUACCGUAAGAAUAAGCACCGGCUAACUACGUGCCAGCCGCCGCCGUAA
rnacentral:rRNA from 1 species